rnacentral:rRNA from 1 species
UACGGAGGGGACUAGCGUUGUUCGGAAUUACUGGGCGUAAAGCGCACGUAGGCGGAUUUGUUAGUCAGGGGUGAAAUCCCGAGGCUCAACCUCGGAACUGCCUUUGAUACUGCAAAUCUCGAGUCCGGAAGAGGUGAGUGGAAUUCCUAGUGUAGAGGUGAAAUUCGUAGAUAUUAGGAAGAACACCAGUGGCGAAGGCGGCUCACUGGUCCGGUACUGACGCUGAGGCGCGAAAGCGUGGGGAGCAAACAGG